CAUGUGACCAUCAGGUCAGAGUCUGCCUUCAUCCUCACACCUGCUGUGCUGCUGACACUGACAGCAGGCGCUCCUCCCUGAACUCAGGUCCCUCCUCUUCCUCCUGUAGAUGCAGCAGGUUCACUUCCUGUCUUCACUGAGCUCUGGGAUCACAGAUUUAUGGUUAAAGUAACAGGAAGUUAACAUGCUGUGGUAACAGAAGAUAUAAACACUUCACUCUGAGACU